UACGAAGGGGGCUAGCGUUGCUCGGAAUUACUGGGCGUAAAGGGCGCGUAGGCGGAUAGUUUAGUCAGAGGUGAAAGCCCAGGGCUCAACCCUGGAAUUGCCCUUGAUACUGGCUAUCUUGAGUUCGGGAGAGGUGAGUGGAACUCCGAGUGUAGAGGUGAAAUUCGUAGAUAUUCGGAGGAACACCAGUGGCGAAGGCGGCUCACUGGUCCAUUACUGACGCUGAGGUGCGAAAGCGUGGGGAGCAAACAGG
rnacentral:rRNA from 1 species